GGAGAAGUUACGGCCUGUCUGUGGCAACGGGGCAAUGGCCCAACUGGAGUCCAAGGAGGGAGACUUAAGACAUACAGGUCGCAGCACCAGCGAUCUGCAAGCCCACUGCACACACAUCACAAUGCACUGGCUCACUCCGGCACUGUCCCCACACCAGGCAGGGCACAAAGGAAGUGCCCCAAAAAUGUGUGUGGGGAAGUAAAUGUAUGUCUGCAAAAGCAGCCUGGCUCCAGAACUCUCACAAGAAGAGGGAAAGGAGAGGGCUUCUUUUCCAGUGAGCUGCGGUGGGGCUGACGCGGAGUCCACAGGCAGGAGGGGGCCGUGCCCCAGGG
rnacentral:lncRNA from 1 species